rnacentral:rRNA from 1 species
UGCCUCAGUAACGGCGAGUGAAGCGGCAAAAGCUCAAAUUUGAAAUCUAGCACUUUCAGUGUUCGAGUUGUAAUUUGAAGAAGGUAACUUUGGUUUUGGCUCUUGUCUAUGUUCCUUGGAACAGGACGUCACAGAGGGUGAGAAUCCCGUGCGAUGAGAUGCCCAAUUCCAUGUAAAGUGCUUUCGAAGAGUCGAGUUGUUUGGGAAUGCAGCUCUAAGUGGGUGGUAAAUUCCAUCUAAAGCUAAAUAUUGGCGAGAGACCGAUAGCGAACAAGUACAGUGAUGGAAAGAUGAAAAGAACUUUGAAAAGAGAGUGAAAAAGUACGUGAAAUUGUUGAAAGGGAAGGGCUUGAGAUCAGACUUGGUAUUUUGCGUUCCCUUCCUUUUUGGUUGGGUUCCUCGCAGUUUACUGGGCCAGCAUCGGUUUGGAUGGUAGGAUAAUGACAUUGGAAUGUAGCUUUACUUCGGUGAAGUGUUAUAGACUUUGUUGAUACUGCCUAUCUAGACCGAGGACUGCGUCUUUGACUAGGAUGCUGGCGUAAUGAUCUUAAGCCGCCCGUCUUGAA